UAAGGAAUAUUGGUCAAUGGAGGCAACUCUGAACCAGCCAUGCCGCGUGCAGGAAGACGGCCCUACGGGUUGUAAACUGCUUUUGUACCGGAAUAAACCUUGAUACGUGUAUCUAGCUGAAUGUACGGUAAGAAUAAGGAUCGGCUAACUCCGUGCCAGCAGCCGCGGUAAUACGGAGGAUCCAAGCGUUAUCCGGAUUUAUUGGGUUUAAAGGGUGCGUAGGCGGCUUAUUAAGUCAGGGGUGAAAGGCGGUAGCUUAACUAUCGGAGUGCCCUUGAUACUGAUGAGCUUGAAUGCAGCUGAGGUAGGCGGAAUGUGACAAGUAGCGGUGAAAUGCAUAGAUAUGUCACAGAACACCGAUUGCGAAGGCAGCUUACUAAAGUGCGAUUGACGCUGAGGCACGAAAGCGUGGGGAUCAAACAGGAUUAGAUACCCCUGUAGUCC
rnacentral:rRNA from 1 species